rnacentral:lncRNA from 7 species
GGUGAUUUUGCUUUGCCUUCCUUGGCUUUUUGGAACUUGGGAAAAGGUACCGAGGUGCAUGGAUAUGGAGAAGAAAAGCUCUCCUGCUGUGGCUGAGAGGUGAUGCAAAGGAGGCCUCCCGAGCAAGCACCACAAAGGCAGCUUGCUUCUCCAGAGGCUGCAGCAUAAGCUCGUGUUCCUUGCGGAGGACUCCGUUGUGCAUCUGCAGGAGCUGCUUUGGCGUGGAGGAUUUUGUGGAGUUGCUGCCAGUCGUUGCUCGGAUGAAGAACAGCACAAGGCAACAGAGGCGUUGACAGCAGCGAUGGAGAUGGAGAUGUUCAGAGUGGAGGAGCUGUUGGCUCGCUGCAGCCACCCCAGCAUCCCGGAGGUGGGCCGGGGGGGGCUUUGGUGCUGCACAAACGACUGCAGGCAGAGGUGUAGGAAAGCGAACGCCAUACGUUUAAUAAUUUAACGUACAAAACAGCAAAUAAAUGAUUAUAUUC